AACCCAACACUAACCCAAUUUCCAUAUACUAAAAAAGUUCUAUUUUUUUAAAUUCAUAAAUUUUCACUUUAAAUUCAUAAUAUUUCAUAGAACAUUAAAAUUAACCUAUUCUCUACAAUAACUAUGAUUUGUAUAAUAAUCAAUCCCCAUAUAUAUCCUUUUGAUUUUUAGUGAGUUAGUAAUUCCGCCUCUAUAAUUUGCUAGUAUUUCUUAUUGGGCAAUUUGAUAGUUUUUAUUUAUUUAAUAUGAUUAAUAGUAUUUAAGUAUUAACAUAUUCUAGAAUGUGGGGUUAAGUUUGUAUACAAUUUAAAAUUAAGUUAAUGUCUAAAAAACAAACAAUAUAAGGUAAUAAUAUAUCUCUCUCUCACUAUUCCCCUUAUCUGCGCCGCGCCCCCUCCCCUCCCAUCUCACUAUCUCUCUCUCAGAUUUCAUCCCUCUCUCUCAGCCCUAGGUCCCGCCGCCACAGCCACUUUGCGCCAUCGCCGGAGCCCGGCAGCUCCAUCGCGGCCAACCGCCAUCUUCUCCCUCCUCUCCCUUUUCUUUCUAUCACUUUCUCUCUUCUCACACCCAACGCACACACCCAGAUCCGCACUCAAAUCAGCGGCGUGGGUGCCGCCGCUCGUCCUUCCCGGCAAAGCAACGGCUCCCACAGAAUCCACCGCCGCCAGCCACGCCGCCUCCCCCUCCUGACUACCGACGACACUAGCGCCGCCGUCCUCACUCUCCUCUCCCCCAGAUCUGACAAAAUCUCUCCCUCACUUCGGUGGACGACAGCAGCCCUCCUCCGGCCGCCGCCACCGCUCGUUCUCCCCUUCAAAUCUUCAACCGACAGCAGCAGAGUCGCGGCCGCCGCCGUCCGUCUGCCUUGACGGUGGUGGAGGAAUUUUUGGUGGUUUGGAGGCGGAGUGAGGAAGGUUUGGAGUUGGUGGAUGGGAGAGGGGCGCCGGAGGAAAGGGCGGAGGAAGGCGGAGGCAGCGCCCAGCGGAGAGUGAGAGCGUGGGUAGUGUUCAUAGCUUGUCUAUUUGAUGUUUAGAAAGAAACGACGCACCCUUUUGAUUCAAAUGUUGGAUGAAAUUUGUGAUGUUGGAUGAAAUUUGUGAUGUUGUAAUAUUUGAUUAAUAAUGUUUGAAUGAAUGUAUGGAUUUUUAGUAUUAAUAUAUGUAUUUUUAGUUUUC